rnacentral:rRNA from 1 species
UACGUAGGGGGCUAGCGUUGUCCGGAAUCAUUGGGCGUAAAGCGCGUGUAGGCGGCCCGAUAAGUCCGCUGUGAAAGUCCAGGGCUCAACCCUGGGAUGCCGGUGGAUACUGUCGGGCUCGAGUCCGGAAGAGGCGAGUCGGAAUUCCGUGGUGUAGCGGUGAAAUGCGCAGAUAUCAGGAGGAACACCAAUGGCGAAGGCAGCUCGCUGGGACGUGACUGACGCUGAGACGCGAAAGCGUGGGAGCAAACAGG